rnacentral:rRNA from 1 species
GACGAACGCUGGCGGCGUGCCUAAUACAUGCAAGUCGAACGCAGUGGGGACGGGUGAGUAACACGUGGGUAACCUCCCAUCAGAGGGGAUAACACUUGGAAACAGGUGCUAAACCGAUACUGAUGGAUGGACCCGCGGUGCAUUAGCUAGUUGGUGAGGUAACGGAUCACCAAGGCCACGAUGCAUAGCCGACCUGAGAGAGUGAUCGGACACACUGGGAGUGGGACACGGGCCAGACUACUACGGGAGGCAGCAGUAGGGAAUCUUCGGCAAUGGACGGAAGUCUGACCGAGGAAGGGCGCGGGAAUGAAGAAGGUUUUCGGAUCGUAAAGAUAUGUUGUUAGAGAAGCGGUAACUAAACAGAAAGGGACGGCUAACUACGUGCCAGCAGCCGCGGUAAUUC